UGCUCGGUCGUCGGUGAGUACGCGCAGCGGCCCGAAGAGGCGCGUGCUCGCUCCAAGGGCGAGGGGGGAGGCGCCGGAUCUCGCGGGGCAAGUGCGCCAGCGACCUGAGGUAUACAUCGUUCUCUUCCUGAUCUGGAUCCGGCUACUUCAGUUUCCUAGAGUUUACCGAGUAGAUCCGCUGCUGCGCGCAUAGCAUGAGCUGUCGGUGAUCCGCCGUAGGUUUAAUUAUGUCCUCCUUCUGUUGGACUAGGAUCACAGGUGCAUGCAUCUUAAGCCAAGCUGUUGGAUGAAUCAUCAGUAUAUCUAUUUUCUUCAAGAAGUAAAUCAUGCGUGCCGAGUAUUUUUUUUUUCAUUGUUGCCUCGUGUGUGCAUCUUAGUUCUUCAGUGCAGAUUGUUGGCCAUCCGUGAUAGAUUUAUAGUGCUAAUCUGGUGGUGCAAGCUGCUCGAGCAAACCAAAAGUUUUCUAUGCCUUGUUCUACAUGAGGCUUGCUCUACUCUUGGGUAGGUCUGUAUUAGGCACUGUUUCUUCUAUGAAGAACUGUGCACUAGUGAUAAUAGUGUGAGAUUGUUAUUUACCCGUUACUUUUUUUGUGCUGGUUGGUGUGUGUGUGUGAUCUUAAGUGCAGAAUGCUUGUCAUUCACUCUUACUUUUUGUGGGUCAUUUAGAUUGUCUGAGUUUUUUUUAGGUUCUGCUCAUUUCUUUCCUAGAUAACAUAACUAGCUCAUGAUUCAGUACUGUGUUUCUCUUCAUGAAGAUAUAUUGUACUCUUGCAGAUUUGCUUGCUUGCUGACCAUUGUAAUUUUUUUCUUUUCAAUAGGUAUCUUGGUGUAGAAUGAAGUGAAGAGGGCAGAGUAUCUUGGUCUUAUUAAUCAAUGCAUCAUAUUAUGUGCGCAAUAAGAUUUUGCUAUGCUUUCACCGUCGAUGCCCACUGGUUGGAUCAUGCUUCUGUUUAUGAGCUCAUUGAAGUAACUCUCUCGUAGCUCAAAUGGGCCAAUUUCUCGUUUGCGUGGCACACAAAACCUUCAGCUAUCCAUCUCCAUAUCAGUUGGUCUCUCUUAAAUUUGUAAUCUUCUGGAAAUAUGCUUAAGUAUAAUAAAUGAUGCGAAGGUAGAUCAUAGAACAUGAACACAUGGUGUAAAAGAGGCACUCAUGCACCAAAACUAUAAAAAGCAGCAAAGAAAAUGAGUAAAAGAGGCACUUGACUUGUAGAUUAUACAAGAGUGAUGAUCUGGAAGUCAACCCUCUUUUAUCAGUAGUUUUGAUCUACCUUCUCAUCUAUAGGAUUAGUUAUUAUGUCUAAGCAUGUUUUUAGAAGAUUAGAAGAUUAAGCAAGCUCAUUCGAUAUGUAAGGUGGAUAGUUUGAGGUUUUGUUUAUCAUGAAAAACAAGGGAUUAGCAAGUUUGAGCUCGGUGGUAGAAUUGCUCAAUGAGAUCGUGAAUAGGAGCAUGAUUCAACCAAUUGACAUCAAUGUUGACAAAGGCAUGGAAAAAUCUUAUCGUAUACAUGAUAUGGUGAUUGAUUUCAUGUGCUGAAGAAAAACACUUGUGGCACUGAGUGAAAGCGGUCUAUCCAAAGGCAAGAUUUGAAGAUUAUCCACCCGAAAGAGCACUACAGGUAGCAGUGAUGUGACAAUGUGGUCUCUUGCAAUUGUUGAUUCAGUGUAGAUUAUAUUGAGUGUUCCAAGUUCUACAUGCCCUGGAUAUAGAAUAUUGUGCUGCAUGUCUCCAUUCUUGGCAAUCACAAUGAUUCAAGAAUACUGUGUUUGCUAGGACAUGAAGCUCCCAUUGUAUUUCUAACCACUAAUUCUGAAUUAAUAGUCAUGAAUCUCUUGGUGUAUUUGUACCAACUUUGCUGAAUCUAGAACUGUCAAAGUUCUGUGUCGGCUCCUGCAGUUAGCUCAUGAUGAAUUUGUUUUCCCAUUCCUUUAUUUUGAUGCUUGAUUGUUAGUCUGUGUGAUUCUGAUUAUUAUCCGUUGUGUCUCUUUUCUUUAUAGCAGUAGCAGCUUUUGAAGUCCUUUUACUCUGCUUUUUGUAUGAAAUUUAAGGUCAUUGUUCUGAAAUGAUCUGUAUAUGUUGUUGUGAAUUUUUUUAAUGUCCUGUAUAUGUUACAUUUGUUUAAAUUUGUACUAGCCUGAACUGAUUAAAUGAUUUUUGUAGGUAAAAUGAUAUGGAUGAGUACAGUACUAAUGUCUUCAAAUUUGUACUAGCCUGAACUGAUUAAAUGAUUUUUGUAGGUAAAAUGAUAUGGAUGAGUACAGUACCAAUGUCUUCAGCUGUUAUUUUCUUUCUGACUGCUAUCAGUAGCAGGAUCACAAGUGAGGGCGUGCAAUGCCCGUGCUGAAUCUACUUGUUGAGCCGUUUGAAGAUAUUGGUCCUGCAUGCUUCCAUUUUUGCCAAUCGAGGCGGUAUGAGAGGCUGAGGCUCUAGAGCACUGCAUUUGCCCUGUUUUGAUUUGUCUUUCUUCUGUAGUAGAGACAUGAAGUUCUACUUGAGAUUGUAAGGAACUUGCAGUCAGUCAAGUUUAUAGUACAAUUUGUUCAAACAGUUCAGUUUAUAAUACAAUUUCUUCGAACUUGACUUCUGUACUGAUGCUAAGAUUUCUGGAACCAUAUGUUGUGAAGCAAAAGAAAGCCCACUCCUAGGUCUUGCACUUUAUGGCAUGGCACAAACGUGUACAUGAUUCUUUUUACCCUGAGAUGGAGGCAUUAGAAAUUUUUGAUCGCUAGAAAUUCUAGUGUUCCUCUCGAUCCAAAGCCAAUUCCACUGCUGUAGUGUACAUUCUUUCAAAAAAUUUAGACUUUGGAUAGUUAUAGCGGCCCAUGGUGGAAGAUGUACCUUUCUUUAGCAUUUGAUCUCGAGCUGAGAAAAGUACUUACACGGUCAAUGUUGGUUUCCUUCUACUCACUCCAUUCCUAAAUAUAGGUCUGGUUCCUAAAUAUAGGUCUUUCUAGAGAUUUCAAUAAGUGACUACAUACGAUACAAAAUAAAUGAAGCUAGACUUUAAAAUAUGUCUACAUACAUUCAUAUAUAAUAGUCCAUUUAAAAUAUCUAAAAAAACUUAUAUUUUGAGGGAGUACAUUCCUAGCUACCCCAGCUUCUACCAGGAAACAAAGAUUUUUCUAGUGUUUUUUCUUUGAAAGAUUUAUUGUUCACAGAAAGCAGCUGAGCUCGGGUUAGAAAUGAAUAUUCGCACGUUACCAGCCACUUCACCCAGAACACCACCAGACUCGCGCUUAGUUAAGCCGCACAAGCUAAGACAGGGAGAUCGCAGUGUGAUCUUCGCUUCGACAGGUUACUGAUGGUGCUAGAAAAUACUACUCCCCCAGUUUGAAUUAUAAGAUGUUCUAAUAUUUUUAAAAUUCGGAUUUAUAUACACGUGUUUUAGUGUGUGUAUUUAUUUAUUCCAGUCUGUAUAUAGUCUAUAUUAAAAUGUCCAAAACGUUUUAUAAUUUGGAACAGAGGUGAUGCGUCACAUUAACUGUUUGAAACAUUUUUUUGCAUGCUUCAACAUUGCACAUAACGUGGUGAAUAUUACAUGUGGCUGUGUGUGCUUCUGUAUUUAGAGUAACCGAGCCGUUCAUAUCAAUGCAUGUCUUCUCAACAUAGACUCCACGGUGCUAAACUGCUAAUCGAAUUCGUCGACAUGGACUCCACGGUGCGAGCCUCCAGCUCCCCUGCUUCUAGUCCGACCAAGACAUAGGUUUGCCUUGCCUUCUAACAACAUGAAACUUAGGGCCUGUUCGGAGAUUCUCCACUCCCCAAGUCCGCUCCGGGAGUUGGUGAAGCUGUAGUUGAAAAUGAUGCAGUGGGGAAAAAGGAGCUCCGCAGAUUCUGAGAUUUCAGGGAGCUGAACACUUAUGCCUGAAUUCUGUUAAUCAGAUUCUGAGAUUUCAGGGAGCUGGACACUUACGCCUGAACUCUGUUAUCACUUCCGUCGAUUCAAGAACCGUCAAGUUUCUGCCAUGCCUCCUGCGUUACAAUGUACUGCUGGUUGGUUAAUUUGCCUGCUUUGAUUAUCUGCUCCGUUUCUUUCUUCAUAGCAGCUUUCAGAAUUCAGACUCGUUUAUUUCGGACUUGUGGAAUAAGAAUUGUUCAGUUAAUAAGAUCUUGUGAAGUUUUGCCUUGAAUUCUAGCCGUUGCGUUUUUGUUUCUUCAUCCCCGUUUCAUGGUACAAAGUUUACCAAACAAAGAGGAAACACAGUGGGUGUUGGUGACUCUGUUGAUGCAUCGAUGUCUGAUCUUGAGAAAGAUUUGAUGAGCAAACCAUAUCAGGCAACUUGUUACUUUUCUGUAGCGUAGCAACACGCCAGUUUACACAGCAUGUCAUGACGGCACAUAAGCAUGAUUUUAGGUUGACAGGGCACACGAUUAGCAAACAAAAGGAAAUACGAAGGCAACAAAAUAAUUAAUUCUCCUUUUGAAAGAAAUGUAAAUAAAUAAAUUUAUAUAAUCAACUAUUCACUCGUUCUUUCUUCUACGCGUUCUCGCCUCUAGUUGGGUCGCACUUUUCACGCACCAUCUUUUUUAAUUAGCUAGAAUUCACAAAUUUAUAUAAUCAACUAUUUUUUUUCUAUUUUAUUUAUUGAUGUGAAACUUGAAUCUAGAUUAGAAACUGCUGUGUGGUGCGAUAAAAGCAUAUCGUGUUGAUGUUGUCAAAUUUCUGCCCUUUUUGGUGAACACCACAAACCGUGUUGAUGAUACUUCAUCCCACCAACUGAUGGCUGAUGAGCAGAAUGACAAAUUUGUUUUAAUCCUAUCAUGAGGACUUCUUCAGUUUAUGAUGGCAUCUGUUUUUCCACAAGCGCAUUAGAUGCCCCGAUGCAGCAAAUAUAUUUUGUAUCCAUCCUUAGGCUUCAUUCAGUUUGAAGGAUUUUUACAAGAAAAGCAUAGGAACAAAGAUCCAGAGGAGAUUUUUCUAUAGAUGCAUUCGGUUUCUAGGAAAUGUGUACGGGAAUUUCAUAGAAAUACUAUUUAUUUUCUACGUUUUUAAAGAAAUUUUCAUGUCCAUUCAAAGCUCAUUUCGUGUGUAGGAGCGAGAUAAGACAAUUCCUUAGGAUGGCAUCAACUUCCUCUACUAUUCCUAAAUCCUACGUUUUUGUUUCAUCCAAAUCGAAUGAGGCCUUAUACUUCCAAUCAAACAGUGCAAGGAAAUAGUCUUAGGACCUCUUUGAUUCAUAGGAUUUCUAAAAUGCAGGAAUAGAAAAAAUACUGGAACGGAGUAGCAUGGCAUCUCCAAUCUUAUAGGACUAAUGGGCGUUUGAUUGCACAUAGGAUAGAUGUUCUUGACACGGAGCUGGAGUAGAUGGAAAUUUUACUAUGAAACCUAGUACAAACAAAUCCUAAGGAAGAAAAUCUUACGAAUCGUAAUCCUACACUAGUAGAAAACAGGACUUUCGUUCGGGCCUGGCCAACCCAUUAGUCCCAGUUCAGUCACGAACCGGGACCCAUGGGGGAAUUUGUUCCGGUUCGUGAGCCCAUGGGGCCGGCCGGGGCCUCGUGGGCAUUGGUCCCGGUUCGUAUGGACCUAUUUGUCCCGGUUCCAGGCACGAACCGGGACCAAUGGUCCUCGCUCCUGGCCCACAAUCAUUGAUCCCAAUUCGUGGCUUGAACCGAGACAGAAUGCUGGGAUUUAGUCCCGGUUUCUACCAUGAACCGGGACAAAUGAGUUGCCUAUAUAUACCCCAUCGCCACAGCAGAGCACUCCACAGUGCUCUAUUUUUUCUGGCCGACGAGGGGAGGGCAUUUGGGUGCUCUAGCUCACCUCCUAUGCAUAUGAGGUGUUCUAUGAAAUGUCCGAGCCACACUAGUUAAUUUUUCUCCUCUCGAAACUCGACCUCCGAACUCCAUUUUCCCCGAGAUUUGUCUAGGUUUAGUGGUUCGUCACGUCCCGUCCCUGUCUUCACCGCCGUCGAUCGCCCGCGCCGAUCUCGUCACCGGCACCACCGUGGUGAGCCUCUUGUUCUUAUCUUCUUUCUGAAAAAAAAUAUUCUUACUUCAGAUAGAUACUUGUCUAAUUUUCUUACUUUUAUUAUUCCUUGUUAUUAUAUAGUGCGAUGGUUUUGGCAUCCGCCCCCGUCGGCCCUCGUCCUGUCUAUGAUUCGGAUGUGGUAUAUAUUAUCUUUUGAUAACUAUUUGGUUCAUUUAUUGUUUAUGACAAUUAUGCCGACCAACGUGACAUAGAUUUUAUUUAUCUAGGAGGUCGUUGAACCAGAAAUUCCAACGGACCCUAUUGUCGAGAGAUUAAAUUUAGUUGAAGAAGAAAACAAUUACUUGAAGGAAAAAAUAAGAAAAAUUGAGGAGGAGAAGAUGAUAUUGGAGUUGCAUGUUGCGGAUGUCGUCGAUGAUCACAAGAUCAAGAUGGAUGCAAUGCGGUUGAAGAUUAGAAAGAUUAGAAAAUAUGCCAUUCAUACCGAGGCUUGGUAUCAUUAUGCAGUUGGAUCGGUUGUUACCUUGGUUCGAUUAUGAUCGCAUUUGUUGUUGCAUUGAAAUAUUUUACAUAAUUUCAAUGAAUGGUUAAUUUGAUGCUCUGGAGAGCUAUAUGUUGUUCAAUGAGAACUAUGUAUGUAUUUUGGUUUUAAUGUGAUGAUGAACUUCUAUUAAUUUGGUCACUUAUCUAUUCAUGAGAGGGUUGAAAAUUGAUGAUGUGGCUUUGAAUGGUGCAUUUUGAACACAAAAAACUAUGGAGUUCAAAUAAGUUCAAAAAAAUGAAAUCCCUUUGUAACAGAUGAGUUUCGUGAUGAAACCCUGAUACUUCGAAAAAGAUUGUCCGUUUUGUACACGAAGUGCAUUCAGUUUUUGCCGUAACCCACUCUACUUUCUUGCACAUGCUAUGUGGGUGAAAUGAUGAUACCAUGCCAACUUUCAACCUUUUCAGAGUUCAUUUCAAAUGCUUUUCAAUUUCAUGGUCUUAUAGAUAAAAAUAAUCAGUAAAUGCAUGAAAAAUAAUAAAUGAAGUCAUAAAUGGUUGAAAAUUGAUGAUGUGGCUUUGAAUGGUGCAUUUUGAACACAGAAAAACUAUGGAGUUCAAAUAAGUUCAAAAAAAUAAAAUCCCUUUGUAACAGACGAGUUUCCUUAUGAAAUCCUGAUACUUCGAAAGAGAUUGUCCGUUUUGUACACGAAGUGCAUCCAGUUUUUGCCGUAACCCUCUCUACUUUCUUGCACAUGCUAUGUGGGUAAAAUGAUGUUACCAUGCCAACUUUCAACCUUUUCAGAGUUCAUUUCAAAUGCUUUUCAAUUUCAUGGUCUUAUAGCUCAAAAUAAUCAGUAAAUGCAUGAAAAAUAUCAAAUGAAGUCAGAUAGGGUUGAAAAUUGAUGAUGUGGCUUUGAAUGGUGCUUUUUGAACACAAAAAAACUAUGUAGUUCAAAUAAGUUUUAAAAAAUAAAAUCCCUUUUUAACAGACGAGUUUCGUGAUGAAACCCUGAUACUUCGAAAGAGAUUGUCCGUUUUGUACACGAAGUGCAUCCAGUUUUUGCCGUAACCCACUCUACUUUCUUGCACAUGCUAUGUGGGUGAAAUGAUGAUACCAUGCCAACUUUCAACCUUUUCAGAGUUCAUUUCAAAUGCUUUUCAAUUUCAUGGUCUUAUAGAUCAAAAUAAUCAGUAAAUGCAUGAAAAAUAACAAAUAAAGUCAGAAAGGGUUGAAAAUUGAUGAUGUGGCUUUGAAUGGUGCAUUUUGAACACAGAAAAACUAUGGAGUUCAAAUAAGUUCAAAAAAUGAAAUCCCUUUUGUAAUAGACGAGUUUUCGUAUGAAACCCUGAUAACAAAAAUGAAAUCCCUUUGUAACAGACGAGUUUCCGUAUGAAAUCCCUUUGUUUCAGAGUUCAUAAAUAACUUUUUUGUUACAAACUUUAAUAGCAAAAAGAAUUAUCAUAAAAUAAAAUAAAUAAGUAAUUUGAAACAAAAUAAUAUAAACUUUAAUAAAAUAUAUAAGCAGAAACAAAAUAAAAUAAUCUUUAAUAACAUAAAUAAAAUUUAUGAAACUAAAAUUAUCAAAGUAUUUUCUGUUCAAAAUAAUUAAAAGCAAAAAGAAUUUUCAUAAAGAACUUUUUUUGUUAGAAACUUUAAUAGCAAAAAGAAUUAUCAUAAAAUAAAAUAAAUAAGUAAUUAUAAACAAAAUAAAAUAAAAUAAAUAAGUAUUUUGUUGUAAGUAGAAAGAAAACAAAAUAAAUAAAGCAAAAAAAGAAAACAAAAAAAC
rnacentral:lncRNA from 1 species